UACGUAGGGCGCAAGCGUUGUCCGGAUUUAUUGGGCGUAAAGAGCUCGUAGGCGGUCUGUCGCGUCGGCUGUGAAACCCCGAGGCUCAACCUCGGGUCUGCAGUCGAUACGGGCAGACUAGAGUACGGUAGGGGAGACUGGAAUUCCUGGUGUAGCGGUGAAAUGCGCAGAUAUCAGGAGGAACACCGGUGGCGAAGGCGGGUCUCUGGGCCGUAACUGACGCUGAGGAGCGAAAGCGUGGGGAGCGAACAGG
rnacentral:rRNA from 1 species